rnacentral:rRNA from 1 species
GACGAACGCUGGCGGCGUGCCUAAUACAUGCAAGUAGAACGCUGAAGGAGGAGCUUGCUUCUCUGGAUGAGUUGCGAACGGGUGAGUAACGCGUAGGUAACCUGCCUGGUAGCGGGGGAUAACUAUUGGAAACGAUAGCUAAUACCGCAUAAGAGUAGAUGUUGCAUGACAUUUUCUUAAAAGGUGCAAUUGCAUCACUACCAGAUGGACCUGCGUUGUAUUAGCUAGUUGGUGGGGUAACGGCUCACCAAGGCGACGAUACAUAGCCGACCUGAGAGGGUGAUCGGCCACACUGGGACUGAGACACGGCCCAGACUCCUACGGGAGGCAGCAGUAGGGAAUCUUCGGCAAUGGACGGAAGUCUGACCGAGCAACGCCGCGUGAGUGAAGAAGGUUUUCGGAUCGUAAAGCUCUGUUGUAAGAGAAGAACGAGUGUGAGAGUGGAAAGUUCACACUGUGACGGUAUCUUAACAGAAAGGGACGGCUAACUACGUG